AUUGAACGCUGGCGGCAUGCUUUACACAUGCAGGUCGAACGGUAACAGGCCGCAAGGUGCUGACGAGUGGCGAACGGGUGAGUAAUGCAUCGGAACGUGCCCAGUCGUGGGGGAUAACUACUCGAAAGAGUAGCUAAUACCGCAUACGAUCUAUGGACGAAAGCGGGGGACCGUAAGGCCUCGCGCGAUUGGAGCGGCCGAUGUCAGAUUAGGUAGUUGGUGGGGUAAAGGCUCACCAAGCCAACGAUCUGUAGCUGGUCUGAGAGGACGACCAGCCACACUGGGACUGGGACACGGCCCAGACUCCUACGGGAGGCAGCAGUGGGGAAUUUUGGACAAUGGGCGAAAGCCUGAUCCAGCAAUGCCGCGUGCAGGAAGAAGGCCUUCGGGUUGUAAACUGCUUUUGUACGGAACGAAACGGCUCUGGUUAAUACCCGGGGCUAAUGACGGUACCGUAAGAAUAAGCACCGGCUAACUACGG
rnacentral:rRNA from 1 species